UCUACGGGUGGCUGCAGUGGGGAAUAUUGCGCAAUGGGCGAAAGCCUGACGCAGCGACGCCGCGUGCGGGAUGAAGGCCUUCGGGUUGUAAACCGCUGUCGGGAGGGACGAAGUUCUGACGGUACCUCCAAAGGAAGCACCGGCUAACUCUGUGCCAGCAGCCGCGGUAAUACAGAGGGUGCAAGCGUUGUCCGGAAUCACUGGGCGUAAAGGGCGCGUAGGCGGCCUGGUAAGUCGGGGGUGAAACGCUGCGGCUCAACCGCAGCACUGCCUUCGAGACUGCUGGGCUUGAGCACGGUAGAGGCUGGUGGAAUUCCCGGUGUAGCGGUGGAAUGCGUAGAGAUCGGGAAGAACAUCGGUGGCGAAGGCGGCCAGCUGGGCCGUUGCUGACGCUGAGGCGCGACAGCGUGGGGAGCAAACAGGAUUAGAUACCCGUGUAGUC
rnacentral:rRNA from 1 species